GCAGGUCGGUGAGGACGGAACACGCUUACAGCUCAUUCAAGUGCCACUGGUCUUGCAGUAUUUCAUCUUUUCCAAACAACCGAGUAAAUUUACAGCUCAUUCAAGUGCCACUGGUCUGUUUUUGGAGAAUUUCAUCUUUAAGGUGCUGUGAGAAAGAGCCAUGUCUCCCGUGCCACCACUGAUGAUGACAUUACAAAACACGUAAUACGGUGGUUCAACUUGGCAGCAGAUAGGGGAAACUCAAGGAGCCGUCCCACUGUCAGCACCCAACAGUAGCGUUUCGGUGUUUCACAGUUAACUUCUGUGUUUCGUUUAACAGUUAAGUAGUAACAGUUGAGAUAAAGUUUACUACUUUAAAUAGUUUUGUUUCUAUUCAUCUUCAAAAAAACCCAGUUUCCACACAAAAAAAUAAGCAGUGCAACAUUAAUAAGAAUAAAUGUUUCUUGAGCUACAUUAAA